GCUUAACAAGAUGUAAACCUUAAUAUUGCUUGUAAAUUAUUAGUCGAAAAUGAAACACAUUUUGUACUUUACUGUCGUGUGUAUGACAAUCUUCGAUUGCAAUUUUGUGAUAUUUUUAAUGAUAAAUUAUACAGUGGUAUUGAUCCCAUUAAAGAAAUUGUUAAACUUUUGUCUGUCAUUUGACUCCAUUUUGACUGUAAGCCAACAUGUUGAUAUCAAUGAACUGAAUUGAAUAGAAUAUUUUGGUUCAUAAUACCUGCAUAACCAAGUUUCAUCAAAGAUUGAUAUAAACUC
rnacentral:sRNA from 1 species